UGACAAAUGAACACGCUUGCGCAAAGACUGCUACGCGUGGUUUAAAUACCGAGGGUUUUUUGUGCCCUUCCCUCUUCAGUGCAGUCCUGACACGCUGAAUGUGGCACGUGGUUCAUCCUUGAACAACAUUCGACAGAAAAUGGCCUCUGACCUAGACGGUACUUGGUGGACUCUGUGCAGCGGCGAAGACCCGCCGUGAACACUGAUGGACCAGGCCCAGAUGUCCGGUGUUGAAGAUUAGAUGAAGACCUAAUCACGUGUACACUGACCUGAAGUGGCAUGAAGUCCCCCCAUCUGAGAUGUGGCAGCUCUAUGAUGAUCGUGUUAUCACCAAUUCCAUGGAUCAUGACUGGUGGUGUUCCUGUUUACUGCAUCAUGGGCAGCGUUGAAGGAUGGUCCAUCAGUUCUGGGCAAGGCCGGUCAUGCCUUCCCCCUCUGGACCAAGGGGUCUCUUAAGGCACAGCGAGUCCCUUGAUGUGUGCUGGACCCCCUGGGCUGGAAUUCCAACUGGAUGUGUACAAAUUCCACAAGUGUUGUGUGGAUUGUCCUUUUGAACAAUGUAAUGUUGAAGAAAAACGCAGUUAAUAAAACUUCAAUUGGAAAAAUCAGAA